AAUAAACCAAUUUUUCAUUUUUUACCUAUAAUUUUUGACUCUUCGUCUUAUUAAAAAAUUUUUGCGAUUGAUAUUUUUGUUUUUAUUAGAUGAUAAAUCAUGAAUAGUACUUUACAUGUGGCUAUUUUUUCUAAUUUCUUGAAAAUUUUUCAAAUAAGAUGAUGGUCAAACGUUGGACACGAAAACC
rnacentral:pre_miRNA from 1 species